rnacentral:rRNA from 1 species
UACGAAGGGGGCGAGCGUUGUUCGGAAUUACUGGGCGUAAAGGGCUCGUAGGUGGCCAACUAAGUCAGACGUGAAAUCCCUCGGCUUAACCGGGGAACUGCGUCUGAUACUGGAUGGCUUGAGGUUGGGAGAGGGAUGCGGAAUUCCAGGUGUAGCGGUGAAAUGCGUAGAUAUCUGGAGGAACACCGGUGGCGAAGGCGGCAUCCUGGACCAAUUCUGACACUGAGGAGCGAAAGCCAGGGGAGCAAACGGG